UGGGGUAUCGCCAAGUUGGUAAGGCACUGGAUUCUGAUUCCAGCAUCCGGAGGUUCGAGUCCUCCUACCCCAGCCA
rnacentral:tRNA from 1 species